UGAGGAAGUUACAUUUCCAAAUCACAAUCUGCCUACAGCAAGAAGAAAAAUAUCAGAUUCUGAAUGCAGGAUAUGUCCCACCAGUCUCUUCCAGAUUAAACAAUCGGAUUUAAUCUUUCGUCAGACACAACUAAAUCCAAGAACAUCAAAGUGCGAAGAUGCUUCCCUUGAAGAUGAAACUCUUCAUCCUAUUUUUCUUAAUUUUUGCCACAAUCAUCGGAAUGUUUUAUGGAAAUUCAUACAUUUUAACUGUAUACCAGCAUUCCUUCUUCUAUCGCAAUACAAGUCUUUGUGCCUGUGACAAAUGUUUAAUGGAAUACGAUCCAUGGCUUAGUGAGCUUAUGGAAGCAUCUCCUGAGCCCUUUUUGUCAGCCACAAACAAUAUAUCAGAGGAUAUUUUUAACUGGUGGAAGCGAAUACAACGGGACAAACGCAAAUAUACUUUCUACAAUAAAACCGUGGAUAAGAUGUUUCACAUCUUCCCACCCAAUGUGGGUUUUACAAGACCCAGCCCUGACCUCUG